rnacentral:rRNA from 1 species
UUAAGCGACUAAGCGUACACGGUGGAUGCCUAGGCAGUCAGAGGCGAUGAAGGGCGUGCUAAUCUGCGAUAAGCGUCGGUAAGCUGAUAUGAAGCGUUAUACCCGACGAUACCCGAAUGGGGAAACCCAGUGUGUUUCGACACACUAUCAUUACGUGAAUACAUAGCAUAAUGAGGCGAACCGGGGGAACUGAAACAUCUCAGUACCCCGAGGAAAAGAAAUCAACCGAGAUUCCCCCAGUAGCGGCGAGCGAACGGGGAAGAGCCCAGAACCUGAAUCAGUUUGUGUGUUAGUGGAAGCGUCUGGAAAGUCGCACAGUAAAGGGUGAUAGUCCCGUACACAAAAAUGCACAAGUUGUGAGUUCGAUGAGUAGGGCGGGACACGUGACAUCCUGUCUGAAUAUGGGGGGACCAUCCUCCAAGGCUAAAUACUCCUGACUGACCGAUAGUGAACCAGUACCGUGAGGGAAAGGCGAAAAGAACCCCGGCGAGGGGAGUGAAAUAGAACCUGAAACCGUGUACGUACAAGCAGUGGGAGCACCCUUUGGGGUGUGACUGCGUACCUUUUGUAUAAUGGGUCAGCGACUUAUAUUCUGUAGCAAGGUUAACCGAAUAGGGGAGCCGCAGGGAAACCGAGUCUUAACUGGGCGUUAAGUUGCAGGGUAUAGACCCGAAACCCGGUGAUCUAGCCAUGGGCAGGUUGAAGGUUGGGUAACACUAACUGGAGGACCGAACCGACUAAUGUUGAAAAAUUAGCGGAUGACUUGUGGCUGGGGGUGAAAGGCCAAUCAAACCGGGAGAUAGCUGGUUCUCCCCGAAAGCUAUUUAGGUAGCGCCUCGUGAAUUCAUCUUCGGGGGUAGAGCACUGUUUCGGCUAGGGGGUCAUCCCGACUUACCAACCCGAUGCAAACUACGAAUACCGAAGAAUGUUAUCACGGGAGACACACGGCGGGUGCUAACGUUCGUCGUGAAGAGGGAAACAACCCAGACCGCCAGCUAAGGUCCCAAAGUCAUGGUUAAGUGGGAAACGAUGUGGGAAGGCAUAGACAGCCAGGAUGUUGGCUUAGAAGCAGCCAUCAUUUAAAGAAAGCGUAAUAGCUCACUGGUCGAGUCGGCCUGCGCGGAAGAUGUAACGGGGCUAAACCAUGCACCGAAGCUGCGGCAGCGACACUUAGGUGUUGUUGGGUAGGGGAGCGUUCUGUAAGCCUGCGAAGGUGGCCUGUGAGGGUUGCUGGAGGUAUCAGAAGUGCGAAUGCUGACAUAAGUAACGAUAAUGCGGGUGAAAAACCCGCACGCCGGAAGACCAAGGGUUCCUGUCCAACGUUAAUCGGGGCAGGGUGAGUCGACCCCUAAGGCGAGGCUGAAAAGCGUAGUCGAUGGGAAACAGGUUAAUAUUCCUGUACUGGGUGUUACUGCGAAGGGGGGACGGAGAAAGCUAGGUUAUCCGGGCGACGGUUGUCCCGGUUUAAGCGUGAAGGUGGGUGACUUUGGUAAAUCCGGGUCAUCGUUAACACUGAGGCGUGAUGACGAGUCACUACGGUGAUGAAGUAACUGAUGCUACGCUUCCAGGAAAAGCCUCUAAGCUCCAGGUAACACCGAAUCGUACCCCAAACCGACACAGGUGGUCAGGUAGAGAAUACUCAGGCGCUUGAGAGAACUCGGGUGAAGGAACUAGGCAAAAUGGUGCCGUAACUUCGGGAGAAGGCACGCUGAUGGUAAGUGAAGUGACUUGCUCAUGGAGCUGAAAUCAGUCGAAGAUACCAGCUGGCUGCAACUGUUUAAUAAAAACACAGCACUGUGCAAACACGAAAGUGGACGUAUACGGUGUGACGCCUGCCCGGUGCCGGAAGGUUAAUUGAUGGGGUCAGCCGCAAGGCGAAGCUCUUGAUCGAAGCCCCGGUAAACGGCGGCCGUAACUAUAACGGUCCUAAGGUAGCGAAAUUCCUUGUCGGGUAAGUUCCGACCUGCACGAAUGGCGUAAUGAUGGCCAGGCUGUCUCCACCCGAGACUCAGUGAAAUUGAACUCGCUGUGAAGAUGCAGUGUACCCGCGGCAAGACGGAAAGACCCCGUGAACCUUUACUAUAGCUUGACACUGAACCUUGAGCCUUGAUGUGUAGGAUAGGUGGGAGGCUUUGAAGUGUGGACGCCAGUCUGCAUGGAGCCAACCUUGAAAUACCACCCUUUAAUGUUUGAUGUUCUAACGUAGACCCGUAAUCCGGGUUGCGGACAGUGUCUGGUGGGUAGUUUGACUGGGGCGGUCUCCUCCCAAAGCGUAACGGAGGAGCACGAAGGUUAGCUAAUCCUGGUCGGACAUCAGGAGGUUAGUGCAAAGGCAUAAGCUAGCUUGACUGCGAGAGUGACAGCUCGAGCAGGUGCGAAAGCAGGUCUUAGUGAUCCGGUGGUUCUGAAUGGAAGGGCCAUCGCUCAACGGAUAAAAGGUACUCCGGGGAUAACAGGCUGAUACCGCCCAAGAGUUCAUAUCGACGGCGGUGUUUGGCACCUCGAUGUCGGCUCAUCACAUCCUGGGGCUGAAGUAGGUCCCAAGGGUAUGGCUGUUCGCCAUUUAAAGUGGUACGCGAGCUGGGUUUAGAACGUCGUGAGACAGUUCGGUCCCUAUCUGCCGUGGGCGUUGGAAGAUUGAGAGGGGUUGCUCCUAGUACGAGAGGACCGGAGUGAACGCACCACUGGUGUACGGGUUGUGAUGCCAAUUGCAUUGCCCGGUAGCUAAGUGCGGAAGAGAUAACCGCUGAAAGCAUCUAAGCGGGAAACUUGCCUCGAGAUGAGUCUUCCCUGGACACUUGAUGUCCCUGAAGGGCCGUUGAAGACGACGACGUAGAUAGGCUGGGUGUGUAAGCGUAGCGAUACGUUGAGCUAACCAGUACUAAUGACCCGAGAGGCUUAACCUU